rnacentral:ncRNA from 1 species
UAAAAGUUUUAUUCUUGCUUAAAAAUUUAUUUAUAUUUUAUUUUACAUGUAAAUUUUUGUAUGAUUAAUUAAUAAUUUUUAAAAAAUAUUAAUUUUUAAUAUUCGCAGUAAUUAAUUUUAAUUAUUAAGGAAACUUAGAAUUAGUAAAAAUAUUUUAUACUGGCAAAAUUUGUGCCAGCUGCCGCGGUUACACAAAAAGUAUAAGUAAAUAAUAAUUGGUUUUAGUUAAAUUUUAAGUUAUAUUAAAAUAAAAUUAUUUUUAUUAGGUGAAAUUUUAAAAAUAAAUUUUUUUUAAUUAAAAAAAAUAAUUUAAGCUAUGAAAUUUUUAUAAUAAACUAGGAUUAGAUACCCUAUUAUUAAAAAUGUAAAAUUUAAAAUGCCUGAGUAGUAAGAGUUAAGUUCUUGAAACUUAAAGAAUUUGGCGGUGUUUUAGUCUAUUCAGAGGAACCUGUUUUAUAAUCGAUAAUCCACGUUGAACCUUACUUAAGUUUGUAUUCAAUUUGUAUACCGCCGUCAUCAGAAAAUCUUAUGAGAGUAAUAAUUUUCUAAAAUUUUAAUUAAAAAUUAUGUCAGGUCAAGGUGCAGUUUAUAUUUAAGUAAAAAUGGGUUACAAUAAAUUUAUUUAUAUGGCUAGUUAAUUUAACAAUUAAUUUAAAGGUGGAUUUGAUAGUAAAAAAUUAAAGAUAAUUUUUUUGAUUUUAGCUCUAAAACAUGUACACAUCGCCCGUCGCUCUCAUUUUUAAAGUGAGAUAAGUCGUAACAUAGUAGAUGUACUGGAAAGUGUAUCUAGAUGGAC